GACGGAGGGUGCAAGCGUUGUUCGGAAUUACUGGGCGUAAAGGGCGCGUAGGCGGUCUGUUAAGUUCGGUGUGAAAGCCCCGGGCUCAACCUGGGAAUGGCGAUGGAUACUGGCGAGCUAGAGUACGGUAGAGGAGAGUGGAAUUCCCGGUGUAGUGGUGAAAUGCGUAGAUAUCGGGAGGAACACCAGUGGCGAAGGCGACUACCUGGCCUGUUCUUGACGCUGAGGCGCGAAAGCUAGGGGAGCAAACGGG
rnacentral:rRNA from 1 species